UACGUAGGGGGCAAGCGUUGUCCGGAUUUAUUGGGCGUAAAGAGCGUGUAGGCGGCCAUACAGGUCCGUUGUGAAAACUCGAGGCUCAACCUCGAGACGUCGAUGGAAACCGUAUGGCUAGAGUCCGGAAGAGGAGAGUGGAAUUCCUGGUGUAGCGGUGAAAUGCGUAGAUAUCGAGAGGAACACCUGCGGCGAAGGCGGGUUGCUGGGCUGACACUGACGCUGAGGCGCGAAAGCCAGGGGAGCGAACAGG
rnacentral:rRNA from 1 species